GACGAACGCUGGCGGCGUGCUUAACACAUGCAAGUCGAACGGAAAGGCCCUGCUUUUGUGGGGUGCUCGAGUGGCGAACGGGUGAGUAACACGUGAGUAACCUGCCCUUGACUUUGGGAUAACUUCAGGAAACUGGGGCUAAUACCGGAUAGGAGCUCCUGCUGCAUGGUGGGGGUUGGAAAGUUUCGGCGGUUGGGGAUGGACUCGCGGCUUAUCAGCUUGUUGGUGGGGUAGUGGCUUACCAAGGCUUUGACGGGUAGCCGGCCUGAGAGGGUGACCGGCCACAUUGGGACUGAGAUACGGCCCAGACUCCUACGGGAGGCAGCAGUGGGGAAUAUGGCACAAUGGGCGGAAGCCUGAUGAAGCAAGGCCGCGUGCGGGAUGACGGCCUUCGGGUUGUAAACAGCUUUCGCCUGUGACGAAGCGUGAGUGAAGGUAAGGGGUAAAGAAGCACCGGCUAACUACGUG
rnacentral:rRNA from 1 species